GGAUACCCGAGGGAAACUUCGGUUAAUACGGUAUAAGACCACACUACCGCAUGGUAGAGGGGUAAAAGGGGCAACCUGGUAUGAGAUGGACUCGCGUCGCAUUAGCUAGUUGGUGAGGUAACGGCCCACCAAGGCGACGAUGCGUAGCCGACCUGAGAGGGUGAUCGGCCACAUUGGGACUGAGAUACGGCCCAGACUCCUACGGGAGGCGGCAGUGGGGAAUAUUGGGCAAUGGAGGAAACUCUGACCCAGCAAUGCCGCGUGAAUGAAGAAGGUCUUCGGAUUGUAAAGUUCUUUAGUCAGGGAAGAAGUCAAUGACGGUACCUGAAGAAUAAGCUCCGGCUAACUACGUGCCAGCAGCCGCGGUAAUACGUAGGGAGCAAGCGUUGUUCGGAAUGACUGGGCGUAAAGGGUGCGUAGGCGGUUGUACAAGUUAGAAGUGAAAUACCCAGGGCUUAACUCGGGUGCUGCUUCUAAAACUGUAUGACUUGAGUGCAGUAGAGGUUAGUGGAAUUCCUAGUGUAGCGGUGGAAUGCGUAGAUAUUAGGAGGAACACCAGAGGCGAAGGCGGCUAACUGGACUGCAACUGACGCUGAGGCACGAAAGUGUGGGGAGCAAACAGGAUUAGAUACCCUGGUAGUCCACACUGUAAACGAUGGAUAGGAGAUGUAGGAGGUAUCGACUCCUUCUGCGUCGCAG
rnacentral:rRNA from 1 species